rnacentral:rRNA from 1 species
UAUUGGGCAAUGGAGGCAACUCUGACCCAGCAACGCCGCGUGAGUGAUGAAGGUCUUCGGAGUGUAAAACUCUUUAAGUGGGGACGAAGAAAGUGACUGUACCCACAGAAUAAGCCUCGGCUAACUACGUGCCAGCAGCCGCGGUAAUACGUAGGCGGCAAGCGUUAUCCGGAAUGGCUGGGCGUAAAGGGUGCGUAGGUGGUUUGGCAAGUUAGUAGCGUAAUUCCGGGGCUCAACUUCGGAACUACUACUAAAACUGCUGGGCUUGAGUGCAGGAGGGGCAUAUGGAAUUCCUAGUGUAGCGGUGGAAUGCGUAGAUAUUAGGAGGAACACCAGUGGCGAAGGCGGCUUACUGGACUGUAACUGACGUUGAGGCUCGAAAGCGUGGGGAGCAAACAGG